UCUCUCUCUCUCUCUAAUUUCUAUUGUUUUAGGGGUUAAAUGAAAUGCUGACGGGUAUUAAUAAAACUAAUAUUGGGACGAAAAGAAUGGGAGACCUUGAUGAGAAGGUUUUUGUGCAAGUCUGCAAGAAAAGAUUUGUUUCUCAAGAAGAAGCUGGGAUGAAGGCCAUGGAGCUUUGCUCUGUUUGGCAGGAGAAUGUGAAAAAUUCAGCAUGGCACCCUUUUAAAGUGGUCAGAGUGAAUGAUACCCAUGAGGUAUGUACCAUAAAGACAUGCUCUGUGUUUUUGAAGUAGCUAUGCUUCAAUGUAGAAAUAGUAUAGUAAUUAACACGGUAAUACUGUUAUAUUGACACAGUCAGUUAUAAAUGAGGAAGAUGAGAAAUUAAAAAAGCUCAAGCAGGAAUGGGGAGAUGAGAUAUAUUCAGCUGUUGAAACAGCCUUGAAAGAAGUAAAUGAAUACAACCCAAGUGGUGGGUAUUCUGUACAUGAGCUAUGGAACUUCAAGGAACAGAGGAAGGCAACACUAAAAGAAGUUAUUACUUAUAUCGUGGAACAUAUGAAGCAACUUAAGCGCAAGAGAGGAUAGGCGAAAGGUAUGUUUCAGAAUUUCAGCUGAGCUCUUGUUCAGCAUUGCAUUGAUUUUUCAUUGAUAGCUUCACAUACUAAAAUAGUAAUUUGGAAAGAAUGACAUGGUAACCCAGUUGCAUUCAUAGGCACAUGUAACAACUUUUAGACUCUUGUCAGGGGCAGCAUUAAAUAAUAUACUAAUUUAGGUUUAUAUUGAAAGUCGUCUAAUAUCUAAUUAGUUAAUAGCUUAAUAGUGCAUUUUAAUUCAAUACAACAAUCUACUCUACGGUUUUUUUUUUUUAUGAACAAUGAAAUGAUUGGUUCCCAUAAAUGAGUCAAGGGUGUGACUUGGUUCAGUUUAUUCACACUCUAUUCUGUAGUAUCUAUUUGGCAAUAGUUUAAGUAGUUUAUAAGUUAAACUAGUAGCUAAUAGACUAUAGUUGAAAGUUUAUAAAUGAAAAGCUAGUUGAUUGAUAUUCAAGUGGUUGUUAAAAUUAGUAAGCGAGCUAACUGAUCAACAUAAAAUGACAUAAAAGAUAUUUGUUGUAAGCUUUACCAAGAGUAACCACAAACUAAUUUACAAGUUUGUCAAAUAAGAUAAGUCUAUGUCAAACAAACUCAAGCUUCACACCUGACCUAUGUUGAUGCUCCUGUGCUAUGCAAUCACUGCAUCAAAAGGUAUUUGGUUUGUUAGACCUUGAGCCUUUCAAUUGUUCCUGUCUAUCAUGGAUAAUUUUGAAAAGCAAAUGAUGGAAAAUCAAACAAUGACUGAUAUAAUGCACCCCGUUCCAUAUUCUUGAGUCUACCAAUGGAAAUCGUUGUAUCAAAAAAAUAAAUGCUUUCUUAGAGAAAGCAUUUAUUUUUUGAUUUCUGUAUUAUUUUGUAUUCUUUAAUUUCCAAAUUAAAGGAAAAAACAAAUUUCCGAAUUACAAAUAAAAAAAGAGAGAAUUGAUUCUCAAUUUAUAUUAAAAAAAUUAGAAAUUGAUACAUAGGCUAGGACGGAGUAUUCGCUAUUCAUCUUUGACCUAGUCACGUAGGAUCAGGAUCAACUAAAGAGCUAGCCUGCCAUGCACCCUUGCUUCAGGCCAGUAAUCCACUAUCUUAUGAAAGACCUAUUUAUGAUUAAAGGAUGAGAGAUUUCGAACCUGAAGCUUGAAAUAGGAGUAAAGGGUCUUGUUCAGAAAGGAAAAGUUUCUGAUAUUAUAAUUGUGCAAGUGCUCCUUUCAAUUCGGUUAAUAUGCUUGUUAAAUUCUGACCUAGUUUAUCUUAGCUUUGCAGGGGGAGAAGUACAUCUUAUCUCAUGGCGAGUUGGAAAAGUAGGAUCAAUUUCAUGGGAAUGUAGUGCUGUACUUUGGAUAGCUAUAAAUAUAUUAUGAGUAAGUUAGAAGUAGGACCUUUUUGUGGACUUCAGACUUUAGUGAGUCAGUGGCGGAGCGAGAAAAAAAAGUUAGGGUGGGCCACUAAAAUUAACCGUUGAAAAAUUGUUUAAAGCCUCGCAAAAUAGACCUAUAAUUGAAUUGUUUAAAUUUUUCGGGUGGACUACUACACCACUUUGCGGGAAUUUGAAUCAACCGAAACCUAAAACCGACAUAAAAAUGUAUAAAAUCUCGAAAAUAGACCUAUAAUUGAAUUAUUUAAAUUUUUUGGGUGGGCCACUACACCACUUUGCGGGAAUUUGGAUCAAUCAAAAUCUAAAACCGACACAAAAUUGUAUAAAAUCUUGCAAAAUAGACCUAUAAUCGUUGAUUUUUUAAUUUUUUCGGAUGGGCCACGCCCAUGAAGGGCUCCGCCACUGUGAGCUGUUUUAUCUAUUGUGGAUUAUUAAUAUUUUGACUGUCAGUUCUACCAUUCCAGUCAGAAUGAACUAAUGAUGAAACGGUUAUUGGUUAUCGCAUAUAUUCGUCGUUUAUUUUAUGCCAAUUCUUUUACAUGUAUGCCAAUGUUUGCUUUUUAUACUUUACAAAUGGAUCCAAAAUGAGGGGUGGUACGCUUUACAAGAUAAAGUGUAAUGCAAGCGGUUAGUUUUAUUUUUUUUAAAAAAAUCAAUGUUUGAGAUCAUAAGUCGAUAACAAUUUUAAGAAUAUCAAAAUUUUAGCCAUGAAGUUUGGAAAGGAAAACUUAUAGGUUCAACAAUUUAGUUAAAAAAAAAUAAAAAAUUUGUGAUUUCUCCUCUGAAAAAAAUAACUGGAUACUUUGGAUCAUAUAAUUGGGAAGAGCGACUACUUUAUAGGGCACAAACCUAAAAAAAAAAAAACUUAAAAUUUUUUACCCUAUGGGUUGCAAGACUCCGUAAAUUGAGAAAGUAUUGGUCCAACUUUAUUUGGAGUAAUUUUCUUUUAGACCAAUGGCAAUGGUGGAAGAGAUUGGAUUUUCACAAUGUGAUGAGAAUUAAUGUUUGAAUCAUGGCUGAGUAGAGGUAUCGAUAUUUGGUGUCUGAUAAUAAGAUUACUUCAAAUAGAAGGAAACUAUAAAAAUAAGAAAAAAAUAUUGUGUACAUUGAUUUUACUUGAAUGUAAGAUGAAAUUAAAUUCAUUAAAAAAAAAGUUGAAUGUAAUUUAUGUUUGAUAGCAUUGAUGAAGCGAUGAUUCUUGUAAAAUAAUGUUUGGAUAGCUUUGAACAAAACUGUUUUCAGUGUGUAAAAUUGGUUUCAACGUAUAACAUUCACAGAUAAUAGAUAUUAUACCGUAACUUGUCAAAAAAAAGAUAUUAUACCGUAGAAAAAGAAGAAGAUUAGAUAACAGAUACUAGUAUAAUAGCUUUAAAGAAACUUUUUUCCAGCAUUAUGCAUGCAGUAUCCAAUCAAAUUUUCUUCCAUGCAAAACUAUUAUUAUGCCCAAUUCGGAGGAACUCAUACUUUGAUUUGUUGUUUUUAUGGACAAGAAAAAUUCGAGGAAUCGACCUUUGGCAAUGCUUCCAUUAUAUUCUUUGAUAUACAAUUAAGGGAAUUUAUACUACAAUAGGUAUCCGUGAAAAACAUAUAUCUCAAUACUAACCCUUGGUUGUGUUCCAUAAGUGCAUCAAAAAACUAAAGUAAAAAAAGAUAAGUGUUUACAAAUGACUCUUGGUGCAAAAUCCUAUUGUUAUAUAAAGAUCGUCGAUCUAUUGCUCCGUUAUGUGUCCUCACACUAGUUGGAGCUUCGUCAUGCAUUUUUUUUUUGAAGGAUCGUCAUACAUAUUUUUGAUAGCUCUAAUAUAAGCAAACCUAAUCCCUUCCUUAUUUAGAGUUUUUCAUAAAAUCUUUCUAGGCACUUUAGUAUACGACUUCUCCAAAGGAAUGAAAACUAAAUGCAAAUAUUUUUAUUAUCCGUUCGAUAUCGCUCCAUCACACGUUAAAGUAGAUUGUUUCCAUAUGCAAAUAUUUUUUUAUCCGUUCGAAAUCGCUCCAUCACACGUUAAAGUAAAUUGUUUCCAUAUGCAAAUAUUUUUUUUAUCCGUUCGAUAUAUGUAACGCCCUCUUUGAAUUAUUUGUUUUAUUUAAUUAUUUAAUUGAGUCUAGAAUUUAUUAAGAAGAGUUUAGAAUAUAUUUAUAUGAUUAUGUAAUUUAUUAAGUGGCUUAUUAUAUUAUUUAAUAGAAUAAGAUUUGAAAAUAAAAUAAUAUUGGGUUUAGGGGUUGUUAUAAGAUUUGAGAGAGUUUUGGGGAGAAAGAGAAAUAAGAUAAAACAGAAUAAAGGGUUAUAAAUAGGAGAAACCUAGUUUAGAAAAAAAAAAAAAAAAAAAAAACAUAACGUACGAUCAAUUUUGGAGAAAAGGGAGAAAAAGCCAAGAGAAGGGAGAAAGACCUAGAAAGCGGUGAUUUUGAGUUAUAAGGUAAGGGUGAGACUAACAUUCAAUCUUAUUAAGUCUGUAAUUCUGAUGAUUAAAUUUAACAAGGGUGGGAUUAGUUUUGGAGGAUUUGAGAAUUAGGGUUAAAGUGAGGAAUUGAUGAAAAAUUGUUAGAUUGAUGUAGAAAGAGUAGAUAAUCUGAUGAAUUAAAGUAAUAGGUGGUGUUCAUAUUGUAGAAUAAUCAUAGGUUAAAUUCCUAAUCAGUUUUUGAGUUUGAAUUGAUGAAAAUUGGGAUUUUCGCUUGAAGAGUCGGUGUCUAAAUGUUUUUGCAUAUGACUGAUUAUGUGAGGUUUUGGAAACCGAUUUUUGGGUGGUUGAAACUGGAAUUUUUCUGUAGAUUGUGAUAGAGCUAUGUGUCAGGAGCGCGUAGGCGAAAACGGCAUCGAAAACGGGUUAACGGUUUGUUUUUUAGGCGCGAAAACGUGAAGGGUGGAAAUCUGAUGCUGUCGAAAUCAUGAGGCGAUUUCGACAGAAAAUCUGUAAUUUUAGUAUGUCUGAUGCUGUCGAAAUCAUGAGGCGGUUCUAGUGAUCAUGAGGCGAUUUUCACAGAAAAAUCUGUAAUUUUAGUAUGUCUGAUGCUGUCUUACCAGAAACCUUAAAAAUGCAAUUUUCUUCACUCCAAAUGUUUCCAGACUUCUUCUUAAGUGUAGGAACUUUAUCCUAAUCAUCUAGAGAUGUUUUUUAGGAAGGAGAUAACCUUGUAUAAAGGGUCUAAUGAGUUCAUGAGUUGGUCUUUGGGGUAGGAAUGGUAGUUGUUUACAAUAUUAAUGAUAAUCUGUGAAGCUGUUUUAAGAUGUGUUGAUGUUGAUUAUGAUGUCAUACUUAUUACUUGAAUUAUGAAUGUAUAUUUGAGAUGUUGUUGACUUGCAUUUGAUAUUAUUAUGUCAUGCUGUUUUUGUAUACUGCUUGUGUUGCUGUUGUUAUUCAACUAAGCUGCAUGAGUCGGUCUAAGUUGAUUAAGAUGAUGAAGUUCCAAAGUAUUGGAUUAUAUAAGAGGUUGUCGAUUUAAGAUUUUUAAGAGGUCGAGUCCAUGCAUUAGCAUUUCAUUGUUGGGGGCUUGAUGCCCUAGAGCCUUUGCUCAAUUAAGUUGAGGGCUUGAUGCCCUGGGAGCCUUUUUACGCUCAAAUAAAGUUGAGGGUUUGAUGCCCUGGGAGCCUAUUUACGCUCAAAUACGUUGGGGGCUUGAUGCCCUGCAUUGGUACCACAUGCAUAUAAGAGGUAUAAGUUGCAUAGUCAAGUUAGAGUCGCAUUUGUCAAGUCAAGGAUGUUUAAGUUACCAAGUUGUUGAAGCUGUGAUUCUUUAUAUGAACUAUUAAAGAUGUGAUAUAUCAUAUAUUAAUGUCUAUGAUGAAUAUUAUGAUGAUUUUAGGUUGUUAAAUAUAAUUGUUGAAUUAUAUGCUUAAUAUUAUUGUUUUGUGAAAUCUCACCCCUUCUGCUUGGAAAUGUUGCUCUUCGUAUGAGUAACUUGCAGGUAACCAAGAAUAGUUGAUGUCGUGUGAGCUUUCUCUCUCGUGUGUCUUAGGUGCUCUGAUACGUAACGGGAUGAGAACUUUGUUAUUGCUUUUUCUAUUCCUUACGUAUUGUUUUUGAAGAUUUAUGACUAUGUUUUUAGAUUGGAUUUUUAUGAGACAUUUAUGAAGAGGCCUUUAUGCCAAAGACUGUUUUAGUUAUUGAAUAAAUUCUGCUGCGAAGUAUUAAAGAUUUUGUUGUUGAAUUUUAAAGGAUAAAUAGUUAUUUAUUCAGUUUAUGAUUUUAAGAAAAGAAUGUGACAUUCCGUUUAUGUGAAUACUCUGAUUAUUUUUAUGAAAUUUUUAAGUUGGGAAAACGAGGUGUUACAAUAUCCCUCCAUCACAAGUUAAAGUAGAUUGUUUCCAUAGUCCACCUCCUAAACAUAAAACAAAAUUUAUUAUCAUUAACUCAAAUCAGCAACACACUUGUUUAUACAUGAUCCAGGUUGUUCUACUUGAGAACAACUUGCCUUAGGCAGGCACCCCUCAUAAGUGCAAUGUAGGUCUAGGCUACGAGCCUUCUUGAUCACUCAUAGUGAUAGAGAACUGAAAUCGCAUAUGAAUAAAGAGUAAAUAAAAUGAUGGAUUUGGGGAAAGGAAUGGUAAAAGAACGCGCCACACACUUUCAAUCCAAGAAGGAAUGCUGAGCUAUGAAGUAUCGUCACAAUGAUAAAGAAUUCAUUGAUAAGAUUCGAUAAAUUUGGUUCAUUUCAGAACCAAAAAAGAGACAAAGCUCUCACAAUACAUAAAGUGUGUUUUUUUUUUAUCAAAAUUAUAUAUAUAUAUAUAUAUAUAUAUCACAAAGAAACUUACAAUUUAUAGUGCUUUUCUCUAAUGAACUCUAUCGUCGCUAAUUAAUUCAAAUAAAACAUAUAAAUUAAAUCCUAAUUUUAUUUUUUUGACAAAGAUUUAAAUCCUAAAUUUAGACGGCAUAUUACUAGCCUUAAAAUAUUUAUUAAAAUAACAAAAAAAAAGAAACUAAUGUUGAUUGAAAACACCACCAUUCUUCUGCGUGAUCUUCCAAACUGAUCCAAAUGGGAUUAGUAUUCCAAUAAAUCAAAAGUAACGUCCACUUGUAUGAAUUCAUGGCAAUCAUUAUCAAUUUCCAUCAUUAAUUUAUGAAAAUUACUCCCACAUAGAUGAUACUCCCAAGAAAAAAAUUAUUUUUUAAGUUCAUUUAUUUAAUGAUGUAUGUGAUUCAUAUGUUGGAUCACAUACAUUAUUAAAUGAAUGAACCUAAAAUAUCAAUUUUGUUUAUAUUUAGAAAUGGAAGGAGUAGAUCAAUUUUUGACUUGUUGAAUUCAAGUAUCUUUGAAUAACAAAACUUAAAUUAGUGACUUUCCCAUAUGUAUACUAUACGUGAAUUAGCACUUCAAAGGAAUGCAUGGAAUUAAAUUCGAAAAUCUAAACUAAAAUGAAUAAAAUAUUAAUUUUUUGUGCAUUUUUUAUAUGUUUUCUUCCACAUGCUUAAUGAGUUCAUGAUCACAUCACAUAGACCCCAUCCAAAUAAGAUAUACAUCUUUAGAUCUUGUAUAAUAUAAACCAAUUUUCACUAUUAAAUCAAUAAAUCAAAUCAUUAAAUUAAGAGAAAUGAUAUUUGUACAACCACUUUGUGAUAACUUUUAGACAAUUUUAUCUUUCAUACUCACAUUAUAUUCUUACUCUCUCUUCCUUUUUCUCUCUCCAUUAUUUUUGACCAAUAAAAAGAGAAAAAAAUGAAGGUUGUCAAAUAAAUUGUACCAAAUAAUUGUUCAAAUAUCAUUGCUCUAAAUUAAAUAAGAUAUAAUAUGAUUUAUUACUCUAGCGUUAAAAAUACAUCUUUAGAUUAUACAAUACCAUUUUUCUACUCCAUGUUGGACAAAGCCCAAUUUUGGUAUUAUGAUUUUUUAUUUUUUUUGCACAAGCAAUUUUGGUAUUAUGAUAGUAGUGAUUUUAAUGAAAGUUUGGGUGUUCUGGAAAAAAGUUUAGUGUUAUUUGAACAACUCUUUUGAUAUAAUUUUUGAGACAACUUUGUUAUUCUCUCUUCUCAUUGGUCAAUAAUAAUAGAGAGAGAAAAAGAAAUAAAAAAAAUAAGAAGAUAAUGUGUGCAUGAGAGAGAAAAUUGUACAAAAAUUAUAAUAAAAUGAUUGUACAAAUAUCAUUUCUCUAAAAAAAUGAAAGUUUGGGUGUUAACUAGAAAAAAUCAAUUUUUUGUGGGUCCCCAUUAUACUCUUACUUUUAUGCUGUGUUUGGUUGGUGAAUGAAAGUGAAAGGAAAGAUUGUGCAAGGAAAGAAAGAGAGUAGAAAGUAAGAGGAUUGUUAUGAUUGUUUGGUACAAGAGAAAGUAGAAUAGAAAGAAAGUUCUAUGUUCAAUAAUUGACAUAAAUACCCUUGUAUAAAAUACUAAUAUAUAUAAUAUAUAUUAUACAAAUAGGCCAAAAAAUAAGAGAAGUGAAAGAUGAAUAUUUGCACAAUGAAAAAAAUAACCUUAAAAUUGUUCUUUGAUCUUUAUUCAAUUUUUUUACUACUAUUAAUUAAAUCUUAAGUAAACUUUUUAAAAUUUUCAAUUAAACAAUAUUAACAACAAUUUUCCAACUUUAUCUUGAGUAAAUGAUAUUCUAACUUUUUUUUAAUGACAUGAUUUUCCAACUUUAAAUACAAAAAAUUUAACCGGCAAAACGGCAGUAAUUUGUAGAAAAUUUUUAAUGCGCUGCAGUUUAAAAAAUAUAAUAUUUUACUUAUUUGUUCAAAAAAGAUAUAUUUUGCUUAUGCAAUGUUGUCUCAGCAUUAUAUAUUGUUUCGUUAGGGACAUCAUACAUUGUUUAUUCUAGAAAAAAAAAAUGCGUUACAUAUUGCUAAUAUUACAUUAAAUAGGGUUAUUUUUGUCUUUUUCAACAAAAUAUUGUCUCCACUUUUGUUUCCGUCCAAUCCAACAAAGAAAAGAUUUUAGUGUGGGUCCUGCCUAAAACUUUUUUUCCUUCCUUGUUUCCAGGGCAGGGGUUCCAAACUAUAGAAAGUAAAUCUUUCCACUGACUUCUCUCCCUCUUCUAAUCUUUCCAUUAAACCAAACACACCCUUAGGGAAAUGUUAUUUGAACAUCUAAAGUUGUCAUACAACUAAAUAUUAUUAGAUCCAUCUACUUUUUCUUCUUCUUUAUUUUUAACAUUUUAUGAGAUGUGUUAUUUGAACAACUUUUUGGGUGACAACUUAUUUGACAACUAUAGUUUUAUAAAGAAAAAAUAGGUAUUGACACGAAAAUUAAAGCAAUAGAGAGAUAAAGUAAAAUCUCAUAUGAAUAUGUGAGAGAAAGUUGUCACAAAAUGGAUGUUCAAAUAUCAUUUAUCUUUUUGUUAGCUUCAAUUUACGUGCCAUGCUAAUAUUUGAAUAAACUCAUACGGUGUGCAUACACAACAACCAUUUUAGGUCGUCCAUAUAACAUCACUAUUACCAAAAAAUAUCCUAAUCUAAUACUCAAUCUGUCCCAUAAUACUUGAUAGAGUUGACCUUAUUACGCAUGUUAAUGCAUAAUUUUGAGGUUAAAUAUCGUAAAUAACAUAUUAGAAAAAAUUAUUAAUAUUUGAUAUUUUGAAAAUACUCAUCGAGAUAAAUCUAACAACAUCUUAUAUGAUAUUAUUUAUUUUUGUAUAUUAAUAGAAAAAUAUCGUAAAAAAAAGUUAGCUUUACCAAAUGAUUAUGUGAAACUCACUAUGGUAUCAAAGGAUUCCAUUAAGACGGUAAUGUCACAUGACAUUGACCAAUCUAAUUGUGACAAAUAUGCCAAUUCAAUUAUUUUUUCUUUCUCUUUCACAUCUUUAUAUUUGUUAUACUAAAUUGAUAUUAGAGUGGUAAUAUUUUGAUAACCAUUGAGACAACUUUGUUGUUCUCUCUUUUCAUUGGUCAAAAAAAAUGGAGAGAAAAAGGUAGAGAGAGAAUAAGAACAUAAUGUGAGUAUGAGAGAGAAAGUUGUACAAAAAUUGCACCAAAAUAGUUGUACAAAUAUCAUUUCUCUUGAUAUUAUUCAGAAUCUAGCGCAGCCUUUAAAAUUUAGUGGAUUAGUAUUUCUCAUGUUAUACAUCGAUUGAUUUUAACGAAUACUUCCCACAAUCCAAAUACAAAUGCAGUGGCUUAUUCGUUGUUUUUAAUUGACGAUUUCUUUUGUUUCAUCCCAAUAAUUCUUUCAACUAGUGACAUAUGCAUUCUAUGGUACAUAUCGAGGAGUGCAGAUCAGCUCCAGUUUUUUAAAUCCAUUUACUGUCCUGUUGCUUGAACGGAUUGAAGACACGUGUCAAAAACAGUUUUAAUGGCUCAGAUUUUAUAUUUGCAAAUUAAGUUAUUUUUAAUUAAAAAAAUAGAAAAUGGUUUCUUCAGCAACAUAAUUUUUAUGCCAAUAGCAGAAGUUUUACAAUGAUAUUCUUGGCAUAACUUUUUACUGCAAUGAAACAUCAACAACAGAUUUUUUAAAUAUCAUGAGCAGAAUUUUUAUAGCAUUUGACAUCACAUUGUGUCAAGAGGCAGAAUUACAAAUAUAGCAGAAUUACAACAAUGAAUAACACAGUAUCUCUCCAACCAUCACUAACACUUAUACACCAAUUUUAGGACUUGCAAAUGCUUAAUUACUAAAAUCUUCAGAGGCAUACAUGAGACACAAGCAUAUCUGAAGCCUGAAAGGAUUUUUUUUGGGUGAAAAUCAAUACUAACAAUCUUCAAACACGCUCUCAUCGAUUUCAAUCGUCUCAAUUCAAUCCCAACACUGUAAAAAAAAGAGAGGAGGAAAUAGCGAAGAUGACGGCGAGUCAGAGAGGGAAACCGAAAAUCGUCGUCGGAACACCAUUGAAAUGCAAAAGAGAGAGAAGAACGGUGGCGUACCGACAAAAGAAGAGGAAGGAGAGGAAAGGGGCGGAGGAGGGCCGAAGCGUGGAAUGUUUGUGGUUGUUUUAUUUUGUUUUUGUCAAAGGAAAAACUGAUUUUGUUUUUAAAUCUAAUCCGUUGAAAUCUGACCCUGCCACAUAUCACACAUCGGUUACCUGGAGCAAUUUAGCACUGGAGCAGAUCUGCACUAUAUAAUCAUACGCUAAAAUAUACUGGGAAGAAAAUCAACGAUCCAAAAUGGUAGUAAUGGCAAGUUACUAAAAUCAAUCAAUGACCAGCAUAAAUCAUUGCAACCACCAAAACAACAAGAGAGAGAAUUUUGAUACUGGACAGAUAGGACAAGCAAACUUGAUGCCAUGUAAUUCAUUCACUUAUAUUAAACACACCCACUUGAAAUAUUAAAACCAACAAAGAGAGGAAAUUUUAAGCAAAACUCAAACUGCAAAAAGCAAAACUUUCACCUUUGUUUGACAUUCAUGUAGCCCAAAACAAAAAAGGCCCCAAUCAAGAUUGAGCAAACAAAAAAAAUAAAGAUGUGUAUAAAUUUGAGCAUCUCAGACUUGACGAGUAGAUUAGGGUUUCUGCAACCAUCCACACUCCUUUUACAGAAUGAGGUUUCUUCAUUGAUGCUUCAGCAGAAUCCCAAUCUCAUGAAUUCUGCUCUUUACCCAACAAAAAUUGCUCAUUCCCAAAAUAGUAAUAAUAAUAAUAAUAAUAAUAAUAAUAAUCAUCUACUACUACUCUCUCUCUCUCUCUCUAUUGAUCGCUAUAUGCAUCUAUAUCUUUCUUUUCCCAUCCUUUCCUUCAUUCUUUGAUCCUCUUUUUUUCUCUCUCGCAUCGCUAAGAGGCAAUGACGAUGGUUUUGGAGUGUGGAUCUGGAUGGAUAGAUCGCCGUUGAAUAAAAAUGCUUGCCGGUGGCGUGGCAAUUGGGUGAAAUUGACAAUCUUGUCCUUUUCCCGAUUUAGGAUUUUGAAUCCAAUUGCAGCCAUCCAUGGCGGUGCUUUUUUUUUUUCGAUGAUCUAUUUCAUCUUUGUACCAAAACUGAGCCUCGAAUUUGAUGAAACCAAACCCUAAACUGAAUCAACGAAUUUUCUUAAUGCGGUGUUGGGUAGAGUCAUAUGGAGUGAAAGAUGGGAAUUUCAUGUUGGAUUCUAUUCAUUCAAUUUUCCCUCUUUCAUUCCAUAUGUCAUCUAGCUAGCAUAUUUAGUGUUAACAGUUAUUCCUUUUUUUAUUCAUUGAUUUGAUUUUUCCAUCAUUUCUACAUAUGUUAUAUUUUUCUGAUUAUAUUUUCCUGCUUCUGAUUAUAUUUUUCUUAUUUUUGGAUAUUUGUUUACGGUGUUAUAUUUGGUUUUGGGUGACAUCUAGGGUACCCAUGGAACAAUGAUGAGUAAUUUAUCCCAACCAAUACACAUUAGCCACAUAAAUAAACACAUUUUUAAGUGGUAUCUAUGAACUAUCUUAAUCCCACCAACAAAUUGUUCAUUUUCAUUGAUUGGUGGGUAAAUUACCCACCAUUCUUCAAAGGUAAUCUAGAAAAAACCUUGGUUUUGUGGUGAAACACUCAUAUUGGUUUAUUUGAACUUCGCAAGAAAUAAAAGCUUUCUUUCUUUCUAAUGUUGAUUUCAAGCAUUAUAACAUUGACUGUCUUGUAUUGUUGUUAGAUGAACUUUCAGUUUCACUUUUGAGUAUGCAGGUGAAGAUUAUGCUGUUGAAAUGCACAAUUGUUUUGUUACUCUUGACAUUGUAUUGUAGAUGGAACUGUCUUUCUUCUGCCGUACCAAAAAAUGUUGUAGUUGAAAUGUUCUUGUUUAAGCUGCAAAAUGACUGGAUAAGUAAUUUUUUAGUGUAAAGUGUAUCUCAUAUUAAGUGGUUCAUUUGAAUCAGAUUCUGUA
rnacentral:lncRNA from 1 species